GGGGAUGUAGCUCAUUUGGCAGAGCGCGUCAUUAGCAUCUUACGACAAGUCGAAUUGACGAGGUACCGGGUUCAAUUCCCUGCUUCUCCA
rnacentral:tRNA from 3 species